UCUAUGCAUGUCAGUUCUCAUAUAUUGUUGAUUGCAAUUUUUAUUUCUCUGCCUCCAUAGAUUGCAGAUUUCUGGAAGGAAGCUUUGAUAUUGAGUUCAUUACAUCAUCCAAAUGUUGUUUCCUUCCAUGGUGUAGUUCGUGAUAGUCCUGAUGGAUCCUUAGCUACUGUUUCAGAAUUCAUGGUUAAUGGAUCCUUGAAGCAGUUCUUACAGAAGGACAGAUAACCAUGUUAAUAACUCUGCGGUCAGGACUAUUGAUCGUCGUAAGAGACUUAUCAUAGCCAUGGACGUUGCAUUUGGCAUGGAGUAUUUGCAUGCGAAGAACAUUGUACAUUUUGAUUUGAAACGUGCAAAUUUGUUGGUAAACAUGCGAGAUCCACAACGUCCAGUUUGCAAGGUAUACUGUUUUAGAUAUUGUUUCCUGAACUCAAACUUUAAGGCCAUAGGUGUAGGAGGGGCUGGGGCUGGGGCUGGUUGUGUUCAGUAAAUAUUGUUCUUCCAUAUUUCUUGAAAAUUCUAGAUGUUACUGUAUACUUGUGGUGAUUAAUUUAACGGUUGAAGCUUGGUAAUUGUUUCAGCUUGAGAUUGUUUCUAUAGCAUGUGACCUCUUACCAUAUUCUUCAGUUACUAUUAGUUUUUUCUGAUGGUUGACGGAACUGGAACUCAUGCAAUGCACGGGGCCUUUUAGAUUGGUGAUUUGGGCUUAUCAAAGGUCAGACAACAUUCAUUAGUUUCAGGAGGUGUUCAUGGAACUCUACCGUGGAUGGCACCUGAGCUUUUGAGUGGUAAAAGUGACAUGGUAUCUGAAAAGAUAUUCAUUGUGCUUCUAUAAUCGCCUAUGCAUUUGGCUAUAAGGACCUACCGAAGAUCAAGCAUCCCUUCAUCAGAUCUGGGUCUAUGCCUGAUACUCAUGACUUUGUCCUAUCACUUUAGCUGGGACUAUUUCUUAUAUAAAUUUUAAGAAGGGGGAAUCGUAAACAACACAUUACGUCCAAAAAUACCAUCAUGGUGUGAUCCUGAAUGGAAGGCUUUGAUGGAAAAAUGUUGGGCCUAUGAUCCUGCAGAGAGACCUUCCUUUUCAGAGCUGAGAAACAUGGCUGCCGCGAUGAAAUAGAAUAAAUUCAAUUCUGAAGCAAGGAUUUCAUUUUCCUCACUAUCAUGCUGGGAAAAAUUAAAGAGAGGUUAAAGGUCAUCUAUCUAUUAGGCUAAUAAUACACACUACCUUGCCUUGGUUCUUCAAUAACGAGUCUCGUAUGGUACUGCCGCAAGUUAUUUCAAGAGUACCAAGAUAUACAUAUGUGGCUGAAUUAGUAUACUCAAGGAGACUGCAUAAUACACAAACAAGUGCCAUGAAAUUCAAUGGGGAGGAUUGUUGAUAUUUGGGUGAAUAAACCUGUCAUUUGAGGUGGGACUCACCAUCUGUAUGUAAGUUUAUAGUAAUUAAUAAUGCAUAGUAC